rnacentral:lncRNA from 1 species
AUGCGGCACUGCCCAACUGGACGCGGGCUCUGUGCCCGGCCUGAGGCUCGCCCCCUCCGGCCCUGCAAAGCAUCACGGCGAGCCCCAGAGCAGCUGCCGUCCCAAAGCGCGAUCCCCCGGGGUCAAGGCUCCAGAGAGACCCCUCAAAGCUGCCGGGCUGUUUCUCGAGAGGUCCAGGGCCAGCCAGGCAGCCCUCCUGCCGACAAGCUCUCUCCAACAGCCAGCCGGGCCCUUCCGCGAGGGGAAGGUAAUGCAGGCAGGAAUCACAAACAGCAAGACAAGUACUUGGGAAGCCGAAAUUUAUUUCGUUUCACUGCGAAGCACUCGAACUCGCACUCACCACAGCAGGUAAGCCGUACUAGCUUUAGACUGAGCAGUCGGAGCCUGGCCUCUGGAGGGCUUCCGGUCAGCAGGAGGAAGGCAGGAUCUCUGCAGCCCCAGAAGAAGGCAGGAUCCCUGCAGCUCCAGAGGGCUUCCGGUCAGCAGGAGGAAGGCAGGAUCCCUGCAGCCCCAGAGGGCUUCCGGUCAGCAGGAGGAAGGCAGGAUCCCUGCAGCCCCAGAGGGCUUCCGGUCAGCAGGAGGAAGGCAGGAUCCCUGCAGCCCCAGAGGGCUUCCGGUCAGCAGGAGGAAGGCAGGAUCCCUGCAGCCCCAGAGGGCUUCCGGUCAGCAGGAGGAAGGCAGGAUCCCUGCAGCCCCAGAGGGCUUCCGGUCAGCAGGAGGAAGGCAGGAUCCCUGCAGCCCCAGAGGGCUUCCGGUCAGCAGGAGGAAGGCAGGAUCCCUGCAGCCCCAGAGGGCUUCCGGUCAGCAGGAGGAAGGCAGGAUCCCUGCAGCCCCAGAGGGCUUCCGGUCAGCAGGAGGAAGGCAGGAUCCCUGCAGCCCCAGAAGAAGGCAGGAUCCCUGCAGCCCCAGAGGGCUUCUGGUCAGCAGGAGGAAGGCAGGUUCCCUGCAGCCCCAGAGGGCUUCCGGUCAGCAGGAGGAAGGCAGGAUCCCUGCAGCCCCAGAGGGCUUCCGGUCAGCAGGAGGAAGGCAGGAUCCCUGCAGCCCCAGAAGAAGGCAGGAUCCCUGCAGCCCCAGAGGGCUUCUGGUCAGCAGGAGGAAGGCAGGAUCCCUGCAGCCCCAGAGGGCUUCCGGUCAGCAGGAGGAAGGCAGGAUCCCUGCAGCCCCAGAGGGCUUCCGGUCAGCAGGAGGAAGGCAGGAUCCCUGCAGCCCCAGAGGGCUUCCAGUCGGCAGGAGGAAGGCAGGAUCCCUGCAGCCCCAGAGGGCUUCCGGUCGACAGGAGGAAGGCAGGAUCUCUGCUGCCCCAGAGGAAGGCAGGAUCCCUGCAGCCCCAGAGGGCUUCCAGUCGGCAGGAGGAAGGCAGGAUCCCUGCAGCCCCGGAGGGCUUCCGGUCAGCAGGAGGAAGGCAGGAUCCCUGCCGCCCCGGAGGGCUUCUGGUAG